ACCCGUUGAUCCUGCGGGAGGUUGCUGCUAUUGGGAUACCACUUAGCCAUGCAAGUCAAGGGGUUCUUCGGAACACCGGCAAAAUGCUCAGUAACACGUUGAUAAUCUAACCUUAAGUCUUUGAUACCCUUGGGAAACUGAGGUUAAACAAGGAUAGGAAAUUGAGGCUGGAAUGCGCUUUUUCUUAAAUCUACGGAGCUUAAGGAUGAGUCAGCGGCUGAUUAGGCAGUUGGUGAGGUAAUGGCUCACCAAACCUAUGAUCAGUAGGGGUCUUGAGAGAGAUAGCCCCGAGAAGGGCACUGAGAUAAGGGCCCUAGCCCUACGGGGUGCAGCAGGCGGGAAAACUUUACAAUGUACGAAAGUGCGAUAAGGGUAUCCUAAGUGCUUACACUUAUGUGUAAGCUUUUGCCAAGAGCAAACAUCUUGGCGAAUAAGUGAUGGGCAAGACUGGUGCCAGCCGCCGCGGUAACACCAGCGUCACAAGUGGGAACCAUAUUUAUUGGGUCUAAAGCGUCCGUAGCUGGUCUUACAGAUUCUUUGUGAAAUUGUUAAAGUCAACUUAACAGCGUGCAAAGAACACCUGCAAGACUUGGGACUGGGAGGAGUUAGAGGUAUUCCAGGGGAAGCGGUAAAAUGUUAUAAUCCCUGGAGGACCACCGAUGGCGAAGGCAUCUAACUAGAACAGGUCCGACAGUGAGGGACGAAAGCCAGGGGAUCAAAACGGAUUAGAUACCCGAGUAGUCCUGGCUGUAAACGUUGCAGAUUAGGCGUUGCGCAAUCUACAUGAUUGUGCAGUGUCGUAGCGGAGGCGUUAGAUCUGCCACCUGGGAAGUACGGCCGCAAGACUGAAACUUAAAGGAAUUGGCGGGGAGACACCACAAGGGGUGCUACGGGCGGUUUAAUUUGAUUCUACACGGGAAAUCUCACUAGAAGCAACGGCAAAAUGAAAGUCAGGCUGAAGACCUUGCUUGAUGAGCCGAGGGGUAUUGCAUGGCGGCCAUCAGCUCGUGCUGUAAGGUGUCCUGUUAAGUCAGGCAACGAGCGAGACCUGCAUCUACAAUUGCUAGCAACAUCUCCGGAUGGAUUGAGCACAUUGUGGGGACUGCCUUGGAAACGAGGAGGAGGCGCAGGCCAUGGUACGUCAGUAUGGUCCUAAUCUUCUAGGCUACACGCGCGUUGCAAUGGUGAAGACAAUGGGAUACAACUCCGAAAGGAGGAGUUAAUCCUCGAAACUUCACCUUAGUUCAGAUCGAGCUCUGCAACUCGGGCUCGUGAAGCCGGAAUCCCUAGUAAUCGGACGUCAACAGCGUCCGGUGAAUAUGUCCCUGUCUCUUGCACACACCGCCCGUCAAACCACUCGAGCAUAGUUUAAAUGAGAAUCAACUUUUUGGCUGGUUCGAAUUUGAGCUAAGUAAGAUGGGUUAAGUCGUCACAAGGUA
rnacentral:rRNA from 1 species